UACGAAGGGGGCUAGCGUUGCUCGGAAUCACUGGGCGUAAAGGGUGCGUAGGCGGGUCUUUAAGUCAGGGGUGAAAUCCUGGAGCUCAACUCCAGAACUGCCUUUGAUACUGAGGAUCUUGAGUUCGGGAGAGGUGAGUGGAACUGCGAGUGUAGAGGUGAAAUUCGUAGAUAUUCGCAAGAACACCAGUGGCGAAGGCGGCUCACUGGCCCGAUACUGACGCUGAGGAACGAAAGCGUGGGGAGCAAACAGG
rnacentral:rRNA from 1 species